UACGGAAGGCAGCAGUGGGGAAUAUUGCACAAUGGGCGCAAGCCUGAUGCAGCCAUGCCGCGUGUAUGAAAAAGGCCUUCGGGUUGUAAAGUACUUUCAGUCGUGAGGAAGGUGUUAAGGUUAAUAACCUUAGCAAUUGACGUUAGCGACAGAAGAAGCACCGGCUAACUCCGUGCCAGCAGCCGCGGUAAUACGGAGGGUGCGAGCGUUAAUCGGAAUUACUGGGCGUAAAGGGCACGCAGGCGGUUAAUUAAGUUGGAUGUGAAAUCCCCGGGCUUAACCUGGGAAUGGCAUUCAAGACUGGUUAGCUAGAGUCUUGUAGAGGGGGUAGAAUUCCGAUGUGUAGCGGUGAAAUGCGUAGAGAUGUGGAGGAAUACCGGUGGCGAAGGCGGCCCCUGGACAAAGGCUGACGCUCAUGUGCGAAAGCGUGGGGAGCAAAC
rnacentral:rRNA from 1 species